AACGUAGGAGACAAACGUUAUCCGGAGUUACUGGGCGUAAAGGGCGUGUAGGCGGUUCGUUAAGUCUGGCGUGAAAGCUCUCGGCUAAACCGGGAGAGGUCGUUGGAUACUGGCGGACUAGAGGACGGUAGAGGCGUGUGGAAUUCCGGGUGUAGUGGUGAAAUGCGUAGAGAUCCGGAGGAACACCAGUGGCGAAGGCGACUAUCUGGGCUGAAACUGACGCUGAGGCGCGAAGGCUAGGGGAGCAAACAGG
rnacentral:rRNA from 1 species